CCUACGGGCGGCAGCAGUGAGGAAUAUUGGUCAAUGGCCGGAAGGCUGAACCAGCCAUGCCGCGUGAAGGUCAGUGCCCUAUGGGCGUUAAACUUCUUUUGUGCGGGAGCAAUAAUGGUCACGUGUGGCCAGACGAGAGUACCGUACGAAUAAGCAUCGGCUAACUCCGUGCCAGCAGCCGCGGUAAUACGGGGGAUGCAAGCGUUCGCCGGAUUUAUUGGGUUUAAAGGGUGCGUAGGCGGUGAGGUAAGGCAGCGGGGAAAUGCCCCCUGUCAACGGGGUGAAGUGCCAUUGAUACUGGCUUGCUGGAAUGCGGAUGCGGUGGGAGGAAUGUGUGGUGUAGCGGUGAAAUGCAUAGAUAUCA
rnacentral:rRNA from 1 species